UCUUCGGGCUUACUCAUUUCACUUCCUGGUGCGAACAAAGCGGGAGAAGAGGCGCCAAACAAAACCACCCCACCCGGCGACUUCUUCAAUAAACGCCACUAGCGCGCCAACCAAGAGCGGGAGCACAGCCGAGAAAUAUCAAGGAAGAACCCACCCAGAAACCCCCAAUUUUUCAAGCUUUCCCCUAUCAUCCACAAUUCCUGAAGCUCAUACCCUCCCCUGUCGAGUUGCGCAGCUGCC